rnacentral:rRNA from 1 species
GACGAACGCUGGCGGCGUGCCUAAUACAUGCAAGUUGAGCGCUCAAGGGUGGUACUUGUACCACCUGUAUUAGCAGCGAACGGGUGAGUAACGCGUGGGGAAUCUGCCUUUGAGCGGGGGACAACAUCGGGAAACGAAUGCUAAUACCGCAUAAAAACUUUAAACACAAGUUUUAAGUUUGAAAGAUGCAAUUGCAUCACUCAAAGAUGAUCCCGCGUCUGAUUAGCUAGUUGGUUAGGUAAACGCCCACCAAGGCGAUGAUACAUAAGCGAACUGAGAGGGUGAUCGGCCACAAUGGGAAUGAGAAACCGCCCAAACUCCUUCGGGAGGCAACAGUAGGGAAUCUUCGGGAAUGGACGAAAGUCUGACCGAGCAACGGCGCGUGAGUGGAGAAGGUUCUCGGAUCGUAAAACUCCGUUGAUAGGGAAGAAAGAUGGGGAGAGUGGAAAGCGCAUAAAGUGACGGUAACUAACCAGAAAGGGACGGCUAACUACGUG